AUCCAUUUGUAGUUCAUAAACAUGAUGAUUGGGUUUUCAUGCUCUUGUGUGAGAUGUGCCUCCGUCAAACCUUGUCAUAAUGUUGGCACAUUACCUGUCUGACA
rnacentral:snoRNA from 1 species